rnacentral:rRNA from 1 species
UACGGAGGGGGCUAGCGUUGUUCGGAAUUACUGGGCGUAAAGCGCGCGUAGGCGGACCUGCAAGUCGGGGGUGAAAGCCCGAGGCUCAACCUCGGAACUGCCUUCGAUACUGCGGGUCCCGAGUCCGGGAGAGGUGAGUGGAAUUCCUAGUGUAGAGGUGAAAUUCGUAGAUAUUAGGAAGAACACCAGUGGCGAAGGCGGCUCACUGGCCCGGUACUGACGCUGAGGCGCGAAAGCGUGGGGAGCAAACAGG